rnacentral:rRNA from 1 species
CACGAAGUGAGUGGCGAACGGGUGAGUAACACGUGGGUAACCUGCCCAGAAGUAGGGGAUAACACCUGGAAACAGAUGCUAAUACCGUAUAACAGAGAAAACCGCAUGGUUUUCUUUUAAAAGAUGGCUCUGCUAUCACUUCUGGAUGGACCCGCGGCGUAUUAGCUAGUUGGUGAGGUAAAGGCUCACCAAGGCAGUGAUACGUAGCCGACCUGAGAGGGUAAUCGGCCACAUUGGGACUGAGACACGGCCCAGACUCCUACGGGAGGCAGCAGUAGGGAAUCUUCCACAAUGGACGCAAGUCUGAUGGAGCAACGCCGCGUGAGUGAAGAAGGGUUUCGGCUCGUAAAGCUCUGUUGUUAAAGAAGAACGUGGGUAAGAGUAACUGUUUACCCAGUGACGG